rnacentral:rRNA from 1 species
CAUGCAAGUCAACGGGGUUNCGGGAGCUUGCUUCUGCAGCUUAGUGGCGAAACGGGUGAGUAACGCGUGAGGAACCCUGCCCUUUUCGAAGAGGGGGGACAACAGUUGGAAACGACUGCUAAUACCGCAUAACGCGUAGAGGUCGCAUGGCCUUUACGCCAAAGAUUUAUCGCUGAAAGAUGGCCUCGCGUCUGAUUAGCUAGUUGGUGAGGUUAAACGGGCCCACCAAGGCGACGAUCAGUAGCCGGACUGAGAGGUUGAACGGCCACAUUGGGACUGAGAUACGGCCCAGACUCCUACGGGAGGCAGCAGUGGGGGAAUAUUGGGCAAUGGGCGCAAGCCUGACCCAGCAAUGCCGCGUGAAGGAAGAAGGCUUUCGGGUUGUAAACUUCUUUUGUCAGGGACGAGCAGAAGACGGUACCUGACGAAUAAGCCACGGCUAACUACGUG